rnacentral:rRNA from 1 species
CAGCCGCCGCGGUAAUACCGGCGGCCCGAGUGGCGGUCACUAUUAUUUGGCUUAAAGCGUCCGUAGCCGGGUUGGGAAGUCCUCCGGGAAAUCUGGCCGCUUAACGGUCAGAAUGCCGGAGGAUACUCCCAGCCUAGGGAGCGGGGGAGGCCGAGGGGAUUCCCGGAGUAGGGGGGAAAUCCUAUAAUCCCGGGAGGACCACCUGUGGCGAAGGCGCUCGGCUGGAACGCGUCCGACGGUGAGGGACGAAGGCCAGGGGAGCAAACCGGAUUAGAUACCCGGGUAGUCCUGGCUGUAAACGAUGCGGACUUUGUGUCGGACAAGCUAUGAGCUUGUCCGGUGCCGGAGGGAAACCGUUAAGUCCGCCGCCUGGGGAGUACGGCCGCAAGGCUGAAACUUAAAGGAAUUGGCGGG